GACGAACGCUGGCUGCGUGCCUAAUACAUGCAAGUCGAGCGAAGUUUUUCUGGUGCUUGCCCUAGAAAAACUUAGCGGCGCACGGGUGAGUAACACGUAAAGAACCUACCUCAUAGACUGGGACAACUAUUGUAAACGCUAGCUAAUACCGGAUAACAGUAUUUCUCGCAUGAGAGAUAUUUAAAAGUUGGUUAUGCUAACAUUAUGAGAUGUCUUUGCGGUGCAUUUGCUAGUUGGUGGGGUAAAGGCACCCCAAGGCGAAGAUGCAUACCCGACAUGAGAGGGUGGUCGGCCACGCUGGGACUGAGACACGGCCCAGACUCCUACGGGAGGCAGCAGUAGGGACUCCUCCGCAAUGGGCGAAAGCCGGACGGAGCAACGCCGCGUGAGUGAAGAAGGAUUUCGGUUCGUAAAGCUAUGUUGUUAGGGAAGAAUGGAUAUGUAGUAACUAUACAUGUAAGAGACGGUACCUAACGAGAAAGCCACGGCUAACUACGUG
rnacentral:rRNA from 1 species